GAUGAACGCUGGCGGCGCGCCUAACACAUGCAAGUCGAACGAUUAAAGCACCUUCGGGUGUGUAUAAAGUGGCGAACGGCUGAGUAACACGUGGGCAACCUGCCCCUUUCAUUGGGAUAGCCACGGGAAACCGUGGAUAAUACCGAAUACUUCGAGACUUCCGCAUGGAAGACUCGAGAAAGCUCCGGCGGAGAGGGAUGGGCCCGCGGCCUGUUAGCUUGUUGGUGGGGUAACGGCCUACCAAGGCAAUGAUGGGUAGCUGGGUUGAGAGACCGACCAGCCAGAUUGGGACUGAGACACGGCCCAGACUCCUACGGGAGGCAGCAGUGGGGAAUCUUGCACAAUGGGCGAAAGCCUGAUGCAGCGACGCCGCGUGCGGGAUGAAGGCCUUCGGGUUGGAAACCGCUUUCAGCAGGGACGAGGCGAAAGUGACGGUACCUGCAGAAGAAGCCCCGGCUAACUACGUGC
rnacentral:rRNA from 1 species